UAGUGGCGCACGGGUGAGUAACGCGUGGGGACCUACCAUAUAGUACGGAACAACAGUUGGAAACGACUGCUAAUACCGUAUGUGCCCUUAGGGGGAAAGAUUUAUCGCUAUAUGAUGGACCCGCGUUGGAUUAGGUAGUUGGUGAGGUAAUGGCUCACCAAGCCUACGAUCCAUAGCUGGUUUGAGAAGAUGACCAGCCACAUUGGGACUGAGACACGGCCCAAACUCC
rnacentral:rRNA from 1 species